rnacentral:rRNA from 1 species
GGGUUAAGUCCCGCAACGAGCGCAACCCUUGUCAUUAGUUGCUACGAAAGGGCACUCUAAUGAGACUGCCGGUGGACAAACCGGGAGGAAGGUGGGGAUGACGUCAAGUCCUCACUUGGCCCUUAUGGGUAGGGCUUCACACGUCAUACAAUGGUCGGUACAGAGGGCUGCCAACCCGCAAGGGGGAGCCAAUCCCUUAAGACCGAUCGUAGUCCGGAUUGAGGUCUGCAACUCGACCUCAUGAAGUCGGAAUCGCUAGUAAUCGCGGAUCAGCAUGUCGCGGUGAAUACGUUCCCGGGUCUU